AAAUUCGGAUUAUUGCGGUCGAAAGGCUGAGGAAAGUCCAUGCUCGCACAAGCUGAAAUGCUUGUAGUGUUCGUGCUUAGCGAAACAAUAAGCUAAGGCAGUUGAAAAACUGACGGCAGAAAAAAUAGCUAAGGUGUAAACUAUGCUAAAGUAUUCUUGAAAGUGCCACAGUGACGAAGUAAUUUUGGAAACAAGAUUAGUGGAACGUUGGUAAACCCCUCGAGCGAGCAACCCAAACUUUGGUAGGGGCACUCUUAAUAGGAAUAACAACAAAAAAAGAGGUACGUCCAUCUGACGUACAGACAGAUAAUAAUCCAGAACAUUUUCCUUCCGAGAAAUGUUUGGACAAAACAUGGCUUAUAGAA
rnacentral:RNase_P_RNA from 1 species